GAAGCAACUGAAGAAAGUGAUAAUUUAUUGAGCGUAAUAUUUAAUUACACAAUUUAUUUAUUUUGUGAAGAAAAAGGAAGCAGUCCUUAGUCCUAACAUGGAUAUUGGCAAUUACAAAGGGAUAUGCCUCCAAUAGUAGUACAAAUCCCCACACCACCAGGAUGCAAUAAAACACACUUGGCAUUGCAGUCGACGCCCCUGGCUGGACACUCAUGUAGACCCUGAUUGCAUGUUUUUGACUUCGCCACCCCCACCAUGCUACCAACUGCAUGCAACACAACCAUAUAUAUAACUAAUCAAUCACAGGCUAAGGCAAUUAUUAAACAACCACAAAUACUAUUCCAAUAGAUAUAUAUAUAUAUAUAUAUAUAUAUAUAUAUAUAUAUAUAUAUAUAUAUAUAUAACGAGACACCAAGGUUCUCUUUUCCAAUUAUUUUUUAAAACAAUUUUAUGUUUUUCAAAACAAAACAACAAAAAAACAUGUUUGAUAACUUAAAACAAAAAAUUAGGCUCUAUUUGGUAAUUGUUUUCAAGAACGAUUUUAUGUUCUCAAAACAUGUUUGGCAAGUAAAAAAUUAUUUUCUAUUUUUUAUUUAUAAAAAUAGAAAACAUAGUAUUUUAAAAAAUAUAUAUUUUAAUUGCUUUCACUUGUUUUUUAUGACUGUUUUAGAAAAUAAUUAUAUAAACAUAUAGAAUGACUAAAAAUAAAGUACUAAAUAUAAUUUUUAAAACAAAUUUAUAAAUAUUAAAAAUGGGUUAGAAACAAUUUCAAAACAUUAGUUUCAAAAACCGUUUCAUUUAAAAAAAAAAAUAAUUACCAAAUAGGCCUAAUAUUUUCAAAAAACAUAUUUUAAUCAUUUUCAACUGUUUCCACUAAUUUUCUAAGAAUUGUUUUAAAAAUAAUAAUUAUGCAAAUACAUAUAAUGAUGAAAAAUAAAGCAAUACAUAUAAGGUUAUUUUUAAAAUAUAAAAAAUAGAUUAAAAACAUUUUAGGUUCCAAACAGAUAUUUAUUCUUCAAAACACCGGAGAAUAAUUUUUAAAAACUAUUCCUUAAAAUUGUUUCAAAGAACUAUUUCAAAAACAAUUGGCAAGGCACAAAUGCUUUGCCUUUGCUUCUUACCACAAGUCAGGACCAAGAGGAGGAGAAUGCCAGAAGUUAGAGAGUCCUUUGCCAUUGCUUACUCUGUACUUGUUGCCAGGCAAGGUCUACUGAUUUAUA
rnacentral:lncRNA from 1 species